UGGCAAUUAGCUCAGUUGGUUCAGAGCAUUCCGAUUUUAUAUCGGAAGGGUCGGGGGUUCGAAUCCCUCAUCGCCCA
rnacentral:tRNA from 3 species